rnacentral:rRNA from 1 species
CAGUCGCCGCGGUAAUACGAGGGGUGCAAGCGUUAUUCGGAUUGAUUGGGUGUAAAGGGUGUGCAGACGGCUUAUUAAGUCACUUGUUAAAUUCUUCGGCCUAACUGAAGGUCUGCAAGUGAUACUGAUGAGCUAGAGGGUGGAAGAGAGAAGUGGAAUUCUCGGAGUAGCGGUAAAAUGCGUAGAUCUCGAGAGGAACACCAAUGGCGAAGGCAGCUUCUUGGUCCACUCCUGACGUUCAUACACGAAAGCGUGGGGAGCAAACAGGAUUAGAUACCCCCGUAGUCCCUGUCUCUUAUAC